rnacentral:rRNA from 1 species
UACAGAGGUCCCGAGCGUUGUUCGGAUUCAUUGGGCGUAAAGGGUGCGUAGGCGGCGGGGAAAGUCUGAUGUGAAAUCCUGGGGCUCAACCCUGGAACUGCAUUGGAUACUUCCUUGCUAGAGUACUGGAGAGGAAACUGGAAUUUACGGUGUAGCAGUGAAAUGCGUAGAGAUCGUAAGGAAGACCAGUGGCGAAGGCGAGUUUCUGGACAGU